UGAGGCAGGAGGAUUGCUGUGAGUUCAAAGCCAGCCUGAACUACCCUGCCUCAAAAAAAAAAAAAAAGUCUCAGUACACUACGGCAUGUGACAUACUCCCAUGUGACAGCUGCUCACCAUGGCAGGCUCAAAAAACACUGGUGAGGGAGACUUCUUUCUCUUUUCCUUGCUUGAGAAACAUGGCCCCUGUGAUGGACCCUGAAUACCUUUGAAUGAGGCCCCUUGGUUAAUUUUAUCUUCCUUGCUCAUUUUCCAGUGCUCAGCUUUUAGAGAAUAAUGCAAUCUUUUUUUUCUUCAUUAUUAGGGAUUGAACCCAGGGCCUCAUGCACACCAGACCCCUGGGACUCAGCCCCGGAAGAGAUCCCUGCACCUGUGACCAUCGGUGAGCCAUGGAACUGGGCAUCCAGACCAGACCAGACCAGACCUUCCUCCCUGGCGGAGCCGGCACUCUGGCUGGGCAGAGACAGGCCGGAAAUUCAGGAAAUGCCAAGAGCCUGCAGGAAAUGAGCCUGGUGCAGGGUUUUGGGAGGACAGGGAAGUGCAGGUGGCCUGGAUGUGGCUGGUAAGGUGAUGCCCAAGGACAGGCUCCAGGGGCAGGAGGAGCUAGGCUGGGGAGGGGAUGCCACAGGUGGAGACAGGUGCUUCACAGCCCCCAGGCUGGCACUAGUGCUUCUUACGGAAAUCACAGAAAUCAGGCCAGUGUUUCCUGAAGUGCUCCGCUCUGGAAGGCAACUGGAUGACUCAGCUUUUGAGGGAUUCUGAAAUGUCCCUUGCUGUUCUUCCCAAGGGCUUGCUGAGGGGCUUUUCGGUCCCUUUGUACUUACAUGGAAUGCUUCAACUCAGCGACAGUUCUCUCUGUCCCAUGCAGACCAGGGCGUCUCAUCUGUCUUCCUGUUAAGCCACAGGUUUCUGCAACUUGUUGAACUUUCACCUGCUCCAGAGUAGAACCGAAGGACCUCAGAGAUCAAUGAGUUCAGGCGGUCUGCACUUUGCUCAUAGAUGUCAUACACACACUGGGGCCCAAACUCACUGACACGAAGUACCUAGGGAGGGUUUAGGGAUCCUCCAGUUUUGGAUUUUAAGCAAAAGCCUCAAGUGAUUUUUAAGAUCAGAGUAUAAGAAACACGGAUAGGGCUGGGGAUUUAGCUCAGUGGCACCGAACCUACCUGGCAAGUGCAAGGUCCUGAGUUCGAUCCCCAGUUUAAAAAAAAAAAAAAAAAAAGCACUGAUAUGGUUCACACAUUUUUUUAAUUUUAAUUUUUGUAAUGGUAGCAAAGUUUUAUUAUCAAAGGUAGGAAAAGAAACAGGCUCUGCAGAGCGAGUUUGGGCCAGUAAAAGUAGGAAAAGGAGUACACCCUACAGCUUGAGGCUGGGCCACUUUGCAAGAGAGAACAGAGUGGUAGCAUAACCCAGUUUUUAAAACAUAAUUUCAGACUUAGUGAAAUGCCACAGAAUAAACUGGGUGUGAAGCAUCUCUGUAAUCCCUUCACUCUGGAAGGUUGAGGCAGGAGGAUGGAAAGUUCAAUAGCCUGAGCAAUUUAGUGACUUAGCAAACUGCGUCUCAAAAAAUUUUUUAAAAGGACUGGGGAUGUAGCUCAGUGCUAAGACCCUGGGUUCAAUCUUUAAUACAACAAAGGAAAAAAAGAAAGAAAGGAGGAGAAUGUUGCAAAACUGUACUUUUUACUCUCCUACUUUUUGAUACUUGUAACUCCUUCAAUAGUGAAAAACUUGCUCCCAUUAACUACAACAUAUUUACUUGCUCCAUCUGAGAAUAUACUGUGUGUUUUAGGAUUACCAAUGCCUGUGUGAAAAAGCCUACUAGUUAGAAUUCACUAUAUGUUUCAAAUUUCUUUUGUCUUCAGGCUGGGAGGUAUAGGGUAAAUGGUCUAAAUUACUUGGAUGUAGUUAUUUCCCCUUCUCUGUGUGAGUAAGUUAUUCAUUUGAAAUACAGUUCAGAUUACUUGUUUCUGUGUGAAUUUUCCAGCCUUUCCUUGGUUUUAUGAAUCCGUCUUCUGAGUAUAUAAAACAUACACAGCUGACCAUUCAUUUUGCAGAUGGCCUAGGGGGAGAUUCCUGGGAAGGUGAGUCUGCAUUUCUUCAAGGGUCUGCCCUUGUAUUGGUUAGGGUUCUCCAAAGGAAAAGAAUCAAUUAAAAAUAUAUUUAAUUAUGCAAGGGGGUUUUUAGAUAAGCUUACAGGGCCAGAAGCAGGAUGUCCACAGUGGCUGGCUGUGGGAUGGAGUGUCAGAGAAUUCUGCAGCUACUCAGUUCAGGAAGCCAAAGAACAAGAGGGAUCAAGGCCGCUACGCCAGUUGGAGACUGAAGGCCUGGAAGCUCUCUAGAGAGUCGCUGGUGGAGUCCACGUGGAGAAACUGGAGAAGCUGGAGCUUGGUGUUCACAGGUGACAGCAGUGGGAAAAGACACCCAAGCAGAACGGAGGGGAGGUUUUCAAAUGCAGGCUACUUCCUUCUCCUCUCCCUUUCAUUCCAUCAGGCUAUAAACCCAGGGUGCCACCCACAAUCACUGGGGCGGCCCCCUUGGUUUGCUGACCCACAAGCCAAUCAUCUUUGGAGAUGCCCCACUGACACGCCCAGAAGCGGUUACUAAUCUCCUAGGACUGGCUAAAUCCAGUCAAUUGCCAGAUCACAAUUAACCCACACAGCCCUUCUUCAGCAUCUCCAUCAGACCCUCCCAGCUAGUGUGGCAAUGUCUCAUUCACACCUGUCACAAGCCCCACAAUCCUACCCAUGAGAAAAACCUGUCUUUGUGCAAGUAAUUAUACUGGUUUCACUCAUAAUCACAAAAAGUAGAAGCACUAGGUGCCUGUCAACUAAUGAAUGCGGUGUCAAGUAUUCACACCAGGAAGACGACUUGGCAGUACAAAGGACACAGAGGUCUACAGCACAGAGAUAACCCCCCAAACGCUUAUG
ensembl:lncRNA